CGGCACUGCGGCGGCGCUCAGCCCUCAAGGACCGGUGUCCCCGGCUGGGCUCCGGCAGUCGCCGACAGGCAGCGCGGCGGGCAGCCCUCGGCGGGGCUGAGGGGCAGAGGGUGCGCAGCGCCUCGGAGGAGAAGCUCCUGUGCACUUCCCACUGCCACCCAGCAACGUGUUUGUGAACAUUUUUGAAGACCGGUUUCCUCCAGCAGCGCUGUUGGUAACAUGUAACUGUAAAGACUAUGGUAACAGCAAGCCCCAGUCUGUGGAGACCACUCUCGCUGUGACGGCAAUGGAGCACACCAUGCUCAUCUGCAGGAGAGGCAACAUCCAGAAAACAUGGGUAGAUGCAAUUGCAUUUUAAGCUACUGCAGUUAGGAUUUCAUAAGAAAGGAAAGCACAUCAAUUAAUUAAAUACGAUAUGCAUUCACAGUUUUAUAUUGUGAUGGUACAUCAAAAUCCAAGGUAUAUAAGAUUGUACAGUUUUAAAUUAAUAACAUUGCAACAUAAGGGGAGAUGUCAAAGAUAAUUCAAGUGAGUUUAAGAUUCCUUGAUAUACAAACCCAUUACCUACUUUUCCCUUCACCUGUCCCCAUGCCCUUCAAAACAAAACAUUUAACAGUACAGGUGUACAGAACUGGUCCCUCAUUUCUGUCUGUUUUUGCACUUAAAACUCUCAGAAGCUUCCCACAAGCUUCACUUUUACCACACAGCCAGUCACUGCACUACAAUCCACUGCUGUGAAAACAUCUGUUUAAAAAUCCUUACUAGAAAUUAGCCAAUUAUUCUACCCUGGAAAGUCUUAGUCCUUAUUCUGAUCUGUAAAGUGCUCUGGUUAUUGUCAUUUCUGUGCCAGGCACGAGUGACAAAGCUCUUAAUGGUUUGAAGUGACUGCUGGAGCACAGGCUGCAUGUGGUAGAAUUUUUUUUUUUUUAGUAUUUUUUAGUCACUGCAGAAUGGCUCAAAGCCACACAAGGAGGCAGCAGCAGUGUCGUUACUCUCUACUCUCCUUUCUCAGUCUGUUUUGUGGCUGCCCUUUUGCCCUCUUCCCUGCUCAUUGCCUGGGAGACCUGAUCUUCAGGCCCUGCCCAGGUAAAACAGAUCCCAGUUUUGCCUCAAAUACAGAAUUCCUGCUGCACAGAACCACCGCUCCUUUUUACUGCAUGUGCCUAAUUGAUUUUAAAACAAUCUAUCCAUGUGCUCUAAGCCACACACUGGAACUUCAGCCUUUUGGAAAGGACAGGAAAAUGGGGCAAGUAACAUUUCUAAAGCUGCUGCUUGUAAUCUUUAGUACUGGUUUUUAUUUUAGGAAAAGACAGUUUUAACAGUCAAUGUAUAUCAAAAGGAAAUAAUAUGCAAGCUGUGCUUCAAAUCAUUUGGUACUCCAACGCAUCAGCAAUGGAAACAUCCACCACUGCUCUUUUUACAAAAACUCCUGUGUACCUUCCAUGUUUUAUCUGUUCCACAUACAUACUUGUCCUGUUUCCAUGAAAGAUAAAUAUAUGAAAAUAACUGAUCCAGACUGUACCCUCGUGACCUCCAAAUUACACAAAAUAAGGAAUAUUUUAUAAUAGAUCUACCUAGUUUAGAAUUUAAAGCCUACCAUGAUCCUAUUCUGCCUCUGGCCAAUGUUACUGUUGCUCAUUAGCUUUGUUACAUAAACCAAAAUACAGCUUUGUAGCGAAGAAGAGAUACUAAAAGUGCCACAGGGAUGAGAGAAAAAAAAAGUAUUUCAUGUAAAAACAGUAAUGCCGGUUAUCUGGAACAGGAUGAAGCUGAGUUUUGUGAUACUCCCACUGUAGACAGAAAUAUAGUGAGUUAUGAGAGUGCUUUAACUUAGAAAUUCAAAAUUUAUUUACAAGUUUUCACUAAGAAAAAAAAAAAAAAACAACAA